rnacentral:rRNA from 1 species
UACGGGAGUGGCAAGCGUUAUCCGGAAUUAUUGGGCGUAAAGAGUAUGUAGGCGGCUAUUUAAGUCAGACGUGUAAGCCCACGGCUCAACCGUGGAAUUGCGUUUGAAACUAUUUAGCUUGAGUUCGGGAGAGGAAAGCGGAAUUCCCAGUGUAGCGGUGAAAUGCAUUGAUAUUGGGAAGAACACCGGUGGCGAAGGCGGCUUUCUGGUCCGAUACUGACGCUGAGAUACGAAAGCCAGGGGAGCGAACGGG